ACCGAAUAUUUUGGCCAUCAUAAAACCGUCUAAAGAGUACGCUUCUAUGCAUAGAAGUGUACUCUUUAGACGGUUCUAUGAUGAUUUUUAUACCUUCUUGC
rnacentral:pre_miRNA from 1 species